AUUGAACGCUGGCGGCAUGCUUUACACAUGCAAGUCGAACGGUAACAGGCCUUCGGGUGCUGACGAGUGGCGAACGGGUGAGUAAUGCAUCGGAACGUACCCAGAGGUGGGGGAUAACGCAGCGAAAGCUGUGCUAAUACCGCAUGUGAUCUGAGGAUGAAAGCGGGGGACCGAGCAGCAAUGUUUGGCCUCGCGCCUUUGGAGCGGCCGAUGUCUGAUUAGCUAGUUGGUGGGGUAAAGGCCUACCAAGGCGACGAUCCGUAGCUGGUCUGAGAGGACGACCAGCCACACUGGGACUGAGACACGGCCCAGACUCCUACGGGAGGCAGCAGUGGGGAAUUUUGGACAAUGGGCGCAAGCCUGAUCCAGCAAUGCCGCGUGCGGGAAGAAGGCCUUCGGGUUGUAAACCGCUUUUGGCAGGAACGAAACGGUGUCCGCUAAUACCGGGCGCUAAUGACGGUACCUGCAGAAUAAGCACCGGCUAACUACGUG
rnacentral:rRNA from 1 species